GAAGGACUUACUCUUCGGAGUGAGAGCGUACACAGGUGCUGCAUGGCUGUCGUCAGCUCGUGUCGUGAGAUGUGGGUUAAGUCCCGCAACGAGCGCAACCCUGCAUUCAGUUGCCAUCGGUAAGCCGGGCACUCUGGAUGGACUGCCGGCGACAAGCCGGAGGAAGUGGGGACGACGUCAAGUCAUCAUGGCCCUUAUGUCCAGGGCGACACACGUGCUACAAUGGCCGGCACAACGGGAAGCGAAGGGGCGACCCUGAGCGGAUCCCACAAAAGCCGGUCUCAGUUCGGAUUGCAGUCUGCAACUCGACUGCAUGAAGUUGGAAUCGCUAGUAAUCGUGGAUCAGCCAAGCCGCGGUGAAUACGUUCCCGGGCCUU
rnacentral:rRNA from 1 species